rnacentral:lncRNA from 1 species
AUUCAAUUCCAGUUAUUGAGUAAUUUUCAGUUCCUAAUAAUAAUUCUCAAUAACUAUCAUUGAAUAUUUGAACCCAUAAAAUUAAUAAAUGUUAAGAUCAAUACAAGUUAGUUAGAAUUACAGAAAAUAGAAAAUUUUGAAUAGAAAAUCUAAAAGAAUCCCAAAUCCCAAGGUGGCAUAUCAUGUUGGCAGGAUGAAUGACUGAAGGAUAGAAGCCUUAAUGGUGCCCAUCCAAGAGUUUGCCUGGCUUGAACUGUGAGGGAUAUCUUCCCAGACUGAGAAACUUGCUUCCCUAGGAAGAACACAAAAUCUUGUGGAGUCAUCCCAAGUGAUAUUUGGUCCAGACUAUAUGCUAGAGCCUGGCCAUUGCACAGCAUUGGUUGAUAUUAUCUCCAGCCUGUGGCAGUCUUAGCUGCAUGCCAGAGAUGAUAUCAGCCAAUAAUGAACAUAGACUGUAUCAGGAUACAAAGCAGGGCAGAUCUCUUGCCCUCUACAGUCAUCCAUGAUUAUUUGACAAUGGGUAGUAUGUACCUUGAGUGCUUAUCCCAACACUAGAAACAAAUAUCUGAUAAAAACUAGGUGCUGUUUCGAGGCAUUGGCACAGUCAUAAGGUUUGUGGUGCUUAACUGCCUUCAACCCAGCUAUCGAUUUGUCGUGGUUUGGGUCGAUUUAAUGAGGUUCCUCCUAUAGUGGGAGAUCCUACCACUGUUGAAACUUUGCUUUUGAUGUGGAUUGCUGGCUUCCAGUUGUUUGUUGGUGUUCAACAUUAUCCUAUUUCAGCUAUUACUAGUUGCUGUAGCAAGACCAUACAUGGGAGGCCAAUGGACUUCAAUGAGAGAAGCCAGUCUGAUGGAUUAGCUUGGCCUCUCUCAUUGAAAUGGACUUGUAGGGGGGAAGACUCUGUCCCUGCUGUGCUUGACAAGGAGUUACAUCUCAUAGGAGGAUCCCUGUAGUAACAGAGCCUGUAGCUCUUUAUUGGACAAUGUCUUAUGAACCUGGUUGGUAGUUGAAAUUGUCCAAAAUUUAUGGAUUUCUCACUUCUAAUGUUUACUAGGAUAUUAUCUUAAUAAACAUAAAGA